CAGCAGCCGCGGGAAUACGAGGGGGGCAAGCGUUGUUCGGAAUUAUUGGGCGUAAAGCGUGCGCAGGCGGUUUUGUAAGACAGGCGUGAAAUCCCCGGGCUCAACCUGGGAAUGGCGCUUGUGACUGCAAAGCUAGAGUGCGGCAGAGGGGGAUGGAAUUCCGCGUGUAGCAGUGAAAUGCGUAGAUAUGCGGAGGAACACCGAUGGCGAAGGCAAUCCCCUGGGCCUGCACUGACGCUCAUGCACGAAAGCGUGGGGAGCAAACAGGAUUAGAUACCCGUGUAGUCCCUGUCUCUUUACA
rnacentral:rRNA from 1 species